GCUCGUGGGAUGGAACUAAGCCAUGCAGUCAUUGUAGUAAUACAAGGCAGACGGCUCAGUAACGCGUAGUCAACCUACCCUAUGGACGGGGAUAACCUCGGGAAACUGAGAAUAAUACCCGAUAGAACAUUAUGCCUGGAAUGGUUUAUGUUUCAAAUAAUUUAUUGCCGUAGGAUGGGACUGCGGCCUAUCAGUUUGUUGGUGAGGUAAUGGCCCACCAAGACUAUUACAGGUACGGGCUCUGAGAGGAGUAGCCCGGAGAUGGGUACUGAGACACGGACCCAGGCCCUAUGGGGCGCAGCAGGCGAGAAAACUUUGCAAUGUGCGAAAGCACGACAAGGUUAAUCCGAGUGGUUUCUGCUAAAGGAACCUUUUGUCAGUCCUAGAAACACUGGUGAAUAAGGGGUGGGCAAGUUCUGGUGUCAGCCGCCGCGGUAAAACCAGCACCUCAAGUGGUCAGGAUGAUUAUUGGGCCUAAAGCAUCCGUAGCCUGCUUUGUAAGUUUUCGGUUAAAUCCAUACGCUCAACGUAUGGGCUGCCGGGAAUACUGCAAAGCUAGGGAGUGGGAGAGGUAGACGGUACUCGGUAGGAAGGGGUAAAAUCCUUUGAUCUAUUGAUGACCACCUGUGGCGAAGGCGGUCUACCAGAACACGUCCGACGGUGAGGGAUGAAAGCUGGGGGAGCAAACCGGAUUAGAUACCCGGGUAGUCCCAGCUGUAAACUAUGCAAACUCAGUGAUGCAUUGGCUUGAUGCCAAUGCAGUGCUGCAGGGAAGCCGUUAAGUUUGCCGCCUGGGAAGUACGUACGCAAGUAUGAAACUUAAAGGAAUUGGCGGGGGAGCACCACAAGGGGUGAAGCCUGCGGU
rnacentral:rRNA from 1 species